UCUCAAGCUUGAAAGCAGUUUAAAUUUGUUUUUCCCUUAUUCAAUGUACUUGAAUCUAUGAGUUUAGGUCACUGCUCUGUACUAGAUUAAGCAUUCCUUAAAGGAAAAUGGCAACAAAAAUUAUAUUUGGCUCACAUAAUACUCUUCCUUUGUGGAAACACCACGUAAAUUUACGUGGUUUUUCCACAAACAAAAAGUAUUAUGUUUUAUCGCCAUGCAAUCCUACAAAGAACUUAUAUUUGUCUGAUUUGAAAGAACGUUGAGAUUACAAAUCUUUUUUUUCAAAUAUUCCCAAACUAUCUUAAUUUUUGAAAUAUUUAAAUCCAAAACAUUCUGAUAUCCUCCAUCUUGUUUUAUAAUUAGAUC